rnacentral:rRNA from 1 species
GUGAGGAAUAUUGCGCAAUGGAGGCAACUCUGACGCAGCCAUGCCGCGUGCAGGAAGAAGGCGCUACGCGUUGUAAACUGCUUUUAACCGGGAAGAAACCCCAGGACGUGUCCUGGGUUGACGGUACCGGAGGAAUAAGCACCGGCUAACUUCGUGCCAGCAGCCGCGGUAAUACGAAGGGUGCAAGCGUUAUCCGGAUUCAUUGGGUUUAAAGGGUGCGUAGGCGGAGCGUUAAGUCAGUGGUGAAAUCCUGCAGCUUAACUGUAGACUUGCCAUUGAUACUGGCGCUCUUGAGUGCGCUUGAAGUGGGCGGAAUGUGCCGUGUAGCGGUGAAAUUCUUAGAUAUGGCACAGAACACCAAUUGCGAAGGCAGCUCACUAAGGCGAUACUGACGCUGAGGCACGAAAGCGUGGGGAUCGAACAGGAUUAGAUACCCUGGUAGUCC